AAACACUCCCGAGAGACCGAUAGUGAACCAGUACCGUGAGGGAAAGGUGAAAAGUACUUCAAAUAGAAGAGUGAAAUAGUUCCUGAAACCAUGCGCUUACAAGCGGUCGGAGCAGCUUUUUAGUUGUGACGGCGUGCCUUUUGCAUAAUGAACCUACGAGUUGCCUUUGCCGGCAAGGUUAAGUGUGACGACACACGUAUCCGAAGCGAAAGCGAGUCUGAACAGGGCGUAUAGUCGGCAGUGGCAGACGCGAAACCAAGUGAUCUACCCUUGGCCAGGUUGAAGGCUGGGUAACACCAGCUGGAGGACCGCACCAAUAAGCGUUGAAAAGCUUCUGGAUGAGCUGAGGGUAGGGGUGAAAGGCUAAUCAAACUUGGAGAUAGCUCGUACUCCCCGAAAUGCAUUUAGGUGCAGCCUUGCGGGUUACUGAUGUGAGGUAGAGCGACUGAUAAGAUGCGAGGGCUUCACCGCCUAUCAAGUCUUGACAAACUCCGAAUGCGCAUCAGUUCUACCGCAGGAGUGAGGGCAUGGGUGCUAAGGUCCGUGCCCGAGAGGAGAAGAAUCCGGACCACCAGCUAAGGUCCCGAAAUGACAGCUAAGUUGAACUAACGAAGUCAGAUUGCUAAGACAGCUAGGAUGUUGGCUUGGAAGCAGCCAUUCAUUUAAAGAGUGCGUAACAGCUCACUAGUCGAGGAGUCGGGCGUGGAUAAUAAUCGGGUAUCAAGUUGUCUACCGAAGCAGUGGGAUCAUUAAUAUGAUCGGUAGGGGAGCAUUCCAGUCGGCGUCGAAGGCGUACCGUGAGGUAUUCUGGAGCGUCUGGAAAAGCAAAUGUAGGUAUAAGUAACGAUAAAGGGGGCGGGAAACCCCCUCGCCGAAAGACUAAGGUUUCCUGAUCAACGCUAAUCGGAUCAGGGUCAGUCGGGUCCUAAGGCUCAGCCGAACGGCGAUGCCGAUGGCAGAAACGGUUAAUAUUCCGUUACUACCUUCAGGAGUGACGUGGAGACGCAGUAGUGACAGUGCCGCCAUCUGACGGAAUAGAUGGUUGAAGGGUGUAGGAGUCGAUCAUGGCAGGCAAAUCCACCAUGAGAUCCGAACCUGAUAGUAUGCCGCGUCCUUCGGGACAAGGCAAUAGUGCGCGUAAGCAUGCUGCCGAGAAAAUCCGCUAAACUUAAUCCUGCAGGUACCCGUACCGCAAACGGACACACGUAGUCGGGAUGAAUAUUCUAAGGCGCUUGAGUGAUUCACGGUUAAGGAACUAGGCAAACUGACCCUGUAACUUCGGGAUAAAGGGUCCCUACCCUUUUAUGGGAGGGCGCAGAGAAUCGGUCCAGGCAACUGUUUAACAAAAACACAGGGCUGUGCCAAAUCGAAAGAUCCAGUAUACAGCCUGACACCUGCCCGGUGCUGGAAGGUUAAGAGGAGAGGUUAUCGCAAGCGAAGCUUUGAAUUUAAGCCCCAGUAAACGGCGGCCGUAACUAUAACGGUCCUAAGGUAGCGAAAUUCCUUGUCGGGUAAGUUCCGACCUGCACGAAUGG
rnacentral:rRNA from 1 species